rnacentral:rRNA from 1 species
CCUACGGGAGGCAGCAGUGGGGAAUUUUGGACAAUGGGCGAAAGCCUGAUCCAGCAAUGCCGCGUGAGUGAAGAAGGCCUUCGGGUUGUAAAGCUCUUUUGUCAGGGAAGAAACGGUGAGAGCUAAUAUCUCUUGCUAAUGACGGUACCUGAAGAAUAAGCACCGGCUAACUACGUGCCAGCAGCCGCGGUAAUACGUAGGGUGCAAGCGUUAAUCGGAAUUACUGGGCGUAAAGCGUGCGCAGGCGGUUUUGUAAGUCUGAUGUGAAAUCCCCGGGCUCAACCUGGGAAUUGCAUUGGAGACUGCAAGGCUAGAAUCUGGCAGAGGGGGGUAGAAUUCCACGUGUAGCAGUGAAAUGCGUAGAUAUGUGGAGGAACACCGAUGGCGAAGGCAGCCCCCUGGGUCAAGAUUGACGCUCAUGCACGAAAGCGUGGGGAGCAAACAGGAUUAGAUACCCUGGUAGUCCACGCCCUAAACGAUGUCUACUAGUUGUCGGGUCUUAAUUGACUUGGUAACGCAGCUAACGCGUGAAGUAGACCGCCUGGGGAGUCGGUCGCAAGAUUAAAACGUCAAAGGAAUUGACGG